ACACCCUCAAGCACUGCUUGGUGUUGGGCGUCUGUCCCGCCUUCGGGCGCGGACUCGCCUCAAAGCGAUUGGCGGCUGGUGCCACGGCCUGGAGUGCAGCAGAAUUGCGCUCCUCGCCCGCGGCCUGGCUCCCAGAAGCGAACCUAUUUCACUUGU
rnacentral:misc_RNA from 1 species